rnacentral:rRNA from 1 species
CGGGAAUAUUGGACAAUGGGCGCAAGCCUGAUCCAGCAAUACCGCGUGUGUGAAGAAGGCCUGCGGGUUGUAAAGCACUUUCAGUUGGGAAGAUAAUGACGUUACCAMCAGAAGAAGCACCGGCUAACUCCGUGCCAGCAGCCGCGGUAAUACGGAGGGUGCAAGCGUUAAUCKGAAUUACUGGGCGUAAAGCGUGCGUAGGCGGCCUGUUAAGUCRGAUGUGAAAGCYCCGGGCUUWACCUGGGAACUGCAUCUGAUACUGGGAGGCUAGAAUGUGGGAGAGGAGAGUGGAAUUUCCGGUGUAGCGGUGAAAUGCAUAGAGAUCKGAAGGAACACCAGUGGCGAAGGCGGCUCUCUGGRCCAACAUUGACGCUGAGGCAGCGAAAGCGUGGGUAGCAMACASGAUUAGAUACCCYGUAGUCCACGCCGUMAACGAUGUCAACUAGCCGCCGGCCUCACUCUAGAGGUCGGUGGUGCAGCUAACGCAUAAGU